GCCUGCGGAAAUAAGAGCUAAAAAUUAGAAAGUGAAGGAAAUAGAAAUGGAAGAUGAAGAAGAGAUAUUCGACGGAGUACGAGCUCAGUUCCCUCUCACCUUCGGCAAACAAUCUAAAUCCCAAAUCCCGCUCGAACAAAUCCACAACACCACCCGCCGCCCUACUCCCCCCAACACCACCUCCGCCGACAAAUCCAAUGCUUUCCCUUCUCUCUCUUCCUCCUCCAAGGCCUGGCUCGACUCUCUUCGCGCCUCCAAAACACCUAACCCUAACCCUACAAUUGGGCCUUCUCCCCUACUUUCUAAGCCCCGGGACGAUGACGAUGGCGAUGGCGAUGGCGAUG
rnacentral:misc_RNA from 1 species